CGGCCGAGUUGAGCGCCAAGGACCUGAAGGAGAAGAAGGAGAAGGUGGAGGAGAAGGCAAGCCGGAAAGAGCGAAAGAAAGAAGUGGUGGAGGAGGAGGAGAACGGGGCUGAGGAGGAAGAAGAAGAAACUGCCGAGGAUGGAGAGGAGGAAGAUGAAGGGGAAGAAGAAGAUGAGGAAGAAGAAGAAGAGGAUGACGAAGGGCCCGCGCUGAAGAGAGCUGCCGAAGAGGAGGAUGAAGCGGAUCCCAAACGGCAGAAGACAGAAAAUGGGGCAUCGGCGUGAGCCCCUGCCAACAGGCUGGGGUUGGGAGGCCUCUCUGGGCCUGGAGGUGGGGGUGGGGGCAGACAAGUCCAGCCACUCUUCACCUGGCUCCCUGCUCUGGGCCCUGCACCAGAGCUGCCACCCUCUUCUUUCUCCCCAGCCUUCUCAUUUCCGCCUCUCCAGACACUGCGCCCUCCACCCUCACUCUGCCAUUGUUCCACCUCCUGACCUGCUCCAUCUGAGCUCUCCAGCUGGCCCCCAAUUGCUCCUCUCUCUCUUUGCUCUCUUUCUCCCUCCCCUACCAGCCUCAUUCUUCCUCCGGUAGCCUCUCCCACCUAACCUCUGCAUCCCCCAGCCUCAUGUUCUGCCCCAUCCCUAUCC
rnacentral:sRNA from 1 species